rnacentral:lncRNA from 1 species
GAUAUUUUUUAGUAAUUUUCUCUUUUCUGGUUAUUUUUAAUUCAUUUAAAAUAGUUUUUGAUAUCCAAAAAAUACAAAAAAAAAAUUCCAACCUCUUUGAAUGAUGAUAGAUCUAUGAAAAAUAUUCUCAUCAAUUUAUUGAUUAAUUUGAGAUUUAUUUGAGAUUUUAGUUCAAUUAGGUUAUUUUUAUGCAUUUUUAAUUGAUUUAAAAUAGUUUCU